AGGCCUACCCACUGCCAGGGGGUUUUCAAAGAAGAGACCCAUGCCUGGGUUUCCCAUGUGCAAGGUGGGCUGUCAGUCCCUGAGGGAGUAGGAACAGGGACAGUUUCUGGAUGGCACAACCGCAAUGAACGAAGACAAAGCAGAUAAAGCCGUACAACUGGGAACGGCGAGGGGAGGGUAGCAAGGAUCAGGGUCCGAGUGCUUCACUGCUGUGAGCCCUUGAAAAGCAGCAUCAAGACCGAAGCGUGGUCUCAUGGUGACCAGGUGGUCCUGUGAUUUGUGUUGUAGAAAGAUCUCCACUCGGUGGGGUUGCGGACUGACUGACCUUGCCUCCCUCCCACCUGCCUCUUGCCCUUCAGAUCUGCAGCUGUUCUUAGCAGCCAACAUCCGUCUCGGGGAUCUUGAGGGACACUGAGAGGUGCUGGGAUGACAGGCCUGUGGCAGCAUGUCUUGUUUCCAUGGUGAUGGAGACUGAACCCAGGGCUUUGUGCAUGCCAGGCAAGCACUCUGCCAUCUCUUCUUUCAGAGCUUUGGUUUACUGUCUUGGACUUUACAGAUGGGACCAACAAUACAUCCCAUAAUGCAUGCAUGGUAUGUUUCUUGUAGAAUUUAUGUUAAGGGAAUGAACGGCUCUGGGUGUCCGUCUGCUGUGCAGGUCCCAGAUGCUCUCUUCUGGCCGAGUCUUCCCCACAGCAGGGGUUUUCUGA
rnacentral:lncRNA from 1 species